CAAGUCGAACGAUGAAGCCCAGCUUGCUGGGUGGAUUAGUGGCGAACGGGUGAGUAACACGUGAGUAACCUGCCCUUAACUCUGGGAUAAGCCUGGGAAACUGGGUCUAAUACCGGAUAGGAGCGCCUACCGCAUGGUGGGUGUUGGAAAGAUUUAUCGGUUUUGGAUGGACUCGCGGCCUAUCAGCUUGUUGGUGAGGUAAUGGCUCACCAAGGCGACGACGGGUAGCCGGCCUGAGAGGGUGACCGGCCACACUGGGACUGAGACACGGCCCAGACUCCUACGGGAGGCAGCAGUGGGGAAUAUUGCACAAUGGGCGAAAGCCUGAUGCAGCGACGCCGCGUGAGGGAUGACGGCCUUCGGGUUGUAAACCUCUUUCAGUAGGGAAGAAGCGAAAGUGACGGUACCUGCAGAAGAAGCACCGGCUAACUACGUGCCAGCAGCCGCGGUAAUACGUAGGGUGCGAGCGUUAUCCGGAAUUAUUGGGCGUAAAGAGCUCGUAGGCGGUUUGUCGCGUCUGUCGUGAAAGUCCGGGGCUUAACCCCGGAUCUGCGGUGGGUACGGGCAGACUAGAGUGCAGUAGGGGAGACUGGAAUUCCUGGUGUAGCGGUGGAAUGCGCAGAUAUCAGGAGGAACACCGAUGGCGAAGGCAGGUCUCUGGGCUGUAACUGACGCUGAGGAGCGAAAGCAUGGGGAGCGAACAGGAUUAGAUACCCUGGUAGUCCAUGCCGUAAACGUUGGGCACUAGGUGUGGGGACCAUUCCACGGUUUCCGCGCCGCAGCUAACGCAUUAAGUGCCCCGCCUGGGGAGUACGGCCGCAAGGCUAAAACUCAAAGGAAUUGACGGGGGCCCGCACAAGCGGCGGAGCAUGCGGAUUAAUUCGAUGCAACGCGAAGAACCUUACCAAGGCUUGACAUGUUCUCGAUCGCCGUAGAGAUACGGUUUCCCCUUUGGGGCGGGUUCACAGGUGGUGCAUGGUUGUCGUCAGCUCGUGUCGUGAGAUGUUGGGUUAAGUCCCGCAACGAGCGCAACCCUCGUUCCAUGUUGCCAGCACGUAAUGGUGGGGACUCAUGGGAGACUGCCGGGGUCAACUCGGA
rnacentral:rRNA from 1 species